rnacentral:rRNA from 1 species
UACGGGGGGGGGCAAGCGUUGUUCGGAAUUACUGGGCGUAAAGGGCUCGUAGGCGGCCAACUAAGUCAGACGUGAAAUCCCCAGGCUCAACCUGGGAACUGCGUCUGAUACUGGAUGGCUUGAAUCCGGGAGAGGGAUGCAGAAUUCCAGGUGUAGCGGUGAAAUGCGUAGAUAUCUGGAGGAAUACCGGUGGCGAAGGCGGCAUCCUGGACCGGCAUUGACGCUGAGGAGCGAAAAGCUAGGGGGAGCAACAGGG